rnacentral:rRNA from 1 species
GAUGAACGCUGGCGGCGUGCCUAAUACAUGCAAGUAGAACGCUGAAGGAAGGAGCUUGCUCUUUCCGGAUGAGUUGCGAACGGGUGAGUAACGCGUAGGUAACCUGCCUGGUAGCGGGGGAUAACUAUUGGAAACGAUAGCUAAUACCGCAUAACAGUAGAUGUUGCAUGAUAUCUACUUAAAAGGUGCAAUUGCACCACUACCAGAUGGACCUGCGUUGUAUUAGCUAGUUGGUGAGGUAACGGCUCACCAAGGCGACGAUACAUAGCCGACCUGAGAGGGUUAUCGGCCACACUGGGACUGAGACACGGCCCAGACUCCUACGGGAGGCAGCAGUAGGGAAUCUUUGGCAAUGGACGGAAGUCUGACCGAGCAACGCCGCGUGAGUGAAGAAGGUUUUCGGAUCGUAAAGCUCUGUUGUAAGAGAAGAACGAGUGUGAGAGUGGAAAGUUCACACUGUGACGGUAUCUUACCAGAAAGGGACGGCUAACUACGUG